CCUACGGGGGGCAGCAGUGAGGAAUAUUGGUCAAUGGCCGGAAGGCUGAACCAGCCAUGCCGCGUGAAGGUCAGUGCCCUAUGGGCGUUAAACUUCUUUUGUGCGGGAGCAAUAAUGGUCACGUGUGGCCAGACUAGAGUACCGUACGAAUAAGCAUCGGCUAACUCCGUGCCAGCAGCCGCGGUAAUACGGGGGAUGCAAGCGUUUUCCGGGUUUAUUGGGGUUAAAGGGUGCGUAGGCUGUGAGGUAAGUCAGCGGUGAAAUGCCCCCGCUCAACGGGGUGAAGUGCCAUUGAUACUGCCUUGCUGGAAUGCGGAUGCCGUAGGAGGAAUGUGUGGUGUAGCGGUGAAAUGCAUAGAUAUCACACAGAACACCGAUUGCGAAGGCAUCUCACGAAUCCGCGAUUGACGCUGAUGCACGAAGGCGUGGGUAUCAAACAGGAUUAGAUACCCUGGUAGUC
rnacentral:rRNA from 1 species